rnacentral:rRNA from 1 species
GAGACAGCAGUAGCCGCGGUAAUACAGAGGGUGCGAGCGUUAAUCGGAUUUACUGGGCGUAAAGCGUGCGUAGGCGGCUUUUUAAGUCGGAUGUGAAAUCCCUGAGCUUAACUUAGGAAUUGCAUUCGAUACUGGGAAGCUAGAGUAUGGAGAGGAUGGUAGAAUUCCAGGUGUAGCGGUGAAAUGCGUAGAGAUCUGGAGGAAUACCGAUGGCGAAGGCAGCCAUCUGGCCUAAUACUGACGCUGAGGUACGAAAGCAUGGGGAGCAAACAGGAUUAGAGACCCCUGUAGUCCCUGUCUCUUAUACA